AGCGAACGCUGGCGGCAGGCUUAACACAUGCAAGUCGAGCGCCGUAGCAAUACGGAGCGGCAGACGGGUGAGUAACACGUGGGAACGUACCUCUUGGUUCGGAACAACACAGGGAAACUUGUGCUAAUACCGGAUAAGCCCUUACGGGGAAAGAUUUAUCGCCGAGAGAUCGGCCCGCGUCUGAUUAGCUAGUUGGUGAGGUAACGGCUCACCAAGGCGACGAUCAGUAGCUGGUCUGAGAGGAUGAUCAGCCACACUGGGACUGAGACACGGCCCAGACUCCUACGGGAGGCAGCAGUGGGGAAUAUUGGACAAUGGGCGCAAGCCUGAUCCAGCCAUGCCGCGUGAGUGAUGAAGGCCCUAGGGUUGUAAAGCUCUUUUGGCGGGGAAGAUAAUGACGGUACCCGCAGAAGAAGCCCCGGCUAACUUCGUGCCAGCAGCCGCAGUAAAAC
rnacentral:rRNA from 1 species